rnacentral:rRNA from 1 species
UACAGAGGGGGCAAGCGUUGUUCGGAAUUACUGGGCGUAAAGGGCGCGUAGGCGGCCUUCUAAGUCGAACGUGAAAUCCCUGGGCUCAACCCAGGAACUGCGUCCGAUACUGGAAGGCUUGAAUCCGGGAGAGGGAUGCGGAAUUCCAGGUGUAGCGGUGAAAUGCGUAGAUAUCUGGAGGAACACCAAUGGCGAAGGCAGAUCUCUGGGCCGUAACUGACGCUGGAGGAGCGAAAGGCAUGGGGAGCGAACGAGG